AGUGAACGCUGGCGGUAGGCCUAACACAUGCAAGUCGAACGGCAGCACAGGAGAGCUUGCCCUCUGGGUGGCGAGUGGCGGACGGGUGAGGAAUACAUCGGAAUCUACUCUGUCGUGGGGGAUAACGUAGGGAAACUUACGCUAAUACCGCAUACGACCUACGGGUGAAAGCAGGGGACCUUCGGGCCUUGCGCGAUUGAAUGAGCCGAUGUCGGAUUAGCUAGUUGGCGGGGUAAAGGCCCACCAAGGCGACGAUCCGUAGCUGGUCUGAGAGGAUGAUCAGCCACACUGGAACUGAGACACGGUCCAGACUCCUACGGGAGGCAGCAGUGGGGAAUAUUGGACAAUGGGCGCAAGCCUGAUCCAGCCAUACCGCGUGGGUGAAGAGGGCCUUCGGGUUGUAAAGCCCUUUUGUUGGGAAAGAAAUCCAGCUGGCUAAUACCCGGUUGGGAUGACGGUACCCAAAGAAUAAGUACCGGCUAACUUCGUGCCAGCAGCCGCCGUAA
rnacentral:rRNA from 1 species